GACGAACGCUGGCGGCGUGCUUAACACAUGCAAGUCGUACGGUAAGGCCCUUUCGGGGGUACACGAGUGGCGAACGGGUGAGUAACACGUGAGUAACCUGCCCACAACUUUGGGAUAACGCUAGGAAACUGGUGCUAAUACUGGAUAUGUGCUCCUGCUGCAUGGUGGGGGUUGGAAAGCUCCGGCGGUUGUGGAUGGACUCGCGGCCUAUCAGCUUGUUGGUGGGGUAGUGGCCUACCAAGGCGGCGACGGGUAGCCGGCCUGAGAGGGUGACCGGCCACAUUGGGACUGAGAUACGGUCCAGACUCCUACGGGAGGCAGCAGUGGGGAAUAUUGCACAAUGGGCGCAAGCCUGAUGCAGCAACGCCGCGUGCGGGAUGACGGCCUUCGGGUUGUAAACCGCUUUCAGCAGGGACGAAGCUUUUUGUGACGGUACCUGCAGAAGAAGCACCGGCUAACUACGUG
rnacentral:rRNA from 1 species